GACGAACCGUGCGAACGUUAUUCGGAUUCACUGGGCUUAAAGGGCGCGUAGGCGGGCUAGCCAGUCCGGGGUGAAAUCUUUCGGCUUAACCGGAAAAGUGCCUUGGAUACUGCUGGCCUUGAGGGAGGUAGGGGCAUGUGGAACUUCCGGUGGAGCGGUGAAAUGUGUAGAGAUCGGGAGGAACACCGGUGGCGAAGGCGGGUCUCUGGGCCACUACUGACGCUGAGAAGCGAAAGCAUGGGGAGCGAACAGG
rnacentral:rRNA from 1 species